GCAUAUCAAUAAGCGGAGGAAAAGAAACCAACAGGGAUUGCCCUAGUAACGGCGAGUGAAGCGGCAACAGCUCAAAUUUGAAAUCUGGCGCAAGCCCGAGUUGUAAUUUGUAGAGGAUGCUUCUGGGUAGCGACCGAUCUAAGUUCCUUGGAACAGGACGUCAUAGAGGGUGAGAAUCCCGUAUGUGACCGGCCCGCACCCUUUACGUAGCUCCUUCGACGAGUCGAGUUGUUUGGGAAUGCAGCUCUAAAUGGGAGGUAAAUUUCUUCUAAAGCUAAAUACCGGCCAGAGACCGAUAGCGCACAAGUAGAGUGAUCGAAAGAUGAAAAGUACUUUGGAAAGAGAGUUAAAAAGCACGUGAAAUUGUUGAAAGGGAAGCGCCUGCAACCAGACUUCGCGGCAGUGUUCCGCCGGUCUUCUGACCGGUUCAUUCUCUGUCGCGAGGCCAUCAUCGUCUGGGCCCGCCGGAUAAGACCUGAGGAAUGUGGCUCCCC
rnacentral:rRNA from 1 species